CACUGUGAGAACUUGAUAAGGAUCUAGGAAGUAAAACCCAUAAAAGCAUGAGGUCUUUCCUAAGACUGAGUCCCCCAGAAGCCGUUAGCUCUCAGACCCAUCCACAUGAAACUUCUGGCAAUUCAUCAAUUAUACUUUAGGUUUUCUUCAUUAGUUUCUGCUCAGUUGUUUGAGAUUGAUUGAAGACCUCAACUGUAACAAAAAACAAACUCAGAGAGGGCAGAGAAAAGCAACUGAGACCUCGCCAUACAAUGCCUUGGUGAGAUGGACUUUCUGGUAAACCUUAUGUUAACUCCUCAAGGAAAUGCCUGGGCAUAUACCAGAAUAGUGCCUGCCUGUGUGAUGCAACCUAAUGCUGCCUCUACUUGCUGGAAUUUUACUUUGUGCCUCUGGGUGGUAAUUAGGGAUUGUUUGAUCUUAGUCAAUAAAAUACUAUUCAAUUUCCCCUGCAGA